rnacentral:lncRNA from 1 species
UCAAAUACACAUGCACAUACACAAACAAAUGAUAUGAUUUAAAUUAAUUUACAAAUAAAGGAUAGUAACAUCACAUCCACGGCUAAGGCCAAGAGCUAUUUGUAGAGCUAUUUGUAAAGCAGACAAAGCAAAUUCAGAAGCUCAAAGUCAUCCAGCCAACGGUCGCAUCUAUUCCCUACAAUCAAAGACACACAGCAAAUGGUAUCAUCACAUCCUCAAAUACACAUGCACAUACACAGACCGAGAGAUACAGCUGAAAACAGGGACACUUCAGUUUUAUACUUUUCAGAAAAAGAUUUUCAAAGAAAAGGCCCAAACAGAAAGAGAGAAAUCUGUAGAAAGAGAAGGCUCAGAUCAGAUAUGCUUUCAAAUCAGACAGGACAGAAACACCACAACACCAGGGCUGCAACAACAAAAGGUUGCCUUGCCAAGAAAUUGAGUAUUUCUCCUUGAGUCUGACUUUUCAGGCUCACUGAUUAAUUAUAUCAUAGCCUCGCCAGUCCCAGACAGCCACUCACACACACAAGAAAGAAAGCAGGCAUAUUUGUAUAAGGGCUGUUGCCAACAUAAGAAACGUAAUCAGUACUCGCUGGCUCCGCUACCUACCAAAGAGGACAGAGUCAACCACCCUGAAACCAACCGCCUCUCACUGAGAGCAAAGCCUCGUACUUAAAUCAUUCACCCGCAAUCUUAACAAAAUUCAUGCAAAAGCAAUCGCGAAUGUUUUUUUAGAAAAAUGUUCAAAAUCAAGUGCGAGCAAGAAAAGGAACUGAAGUUGAAGUACCUGUUAUGUUAACCUUUUUUUAUGGCUAGCCACAUACUAGCCAUCAAGAAAACAGGAAAAUACUAGAGUAAACAGGCAGCCAUUAGUUGUCAAAAUAUAAGUUGGUGGAUAUAGGCCAGAACACUAUCGAGGAAGUUACAAUUGAUUAAGAGUAUACAAGUUCACAAUCAAAGUGUAACUACUAAGUGGAGAUUCACUAGAACAGCAGCAAAUCAUAUUUCACUGUAUUGUGUGACAAAUGAGGAGCUGUAAAACGUCAUAGAUGACUCAGACUCAUAGGAUUGCGAAGCAAAUGCAUAAGAAGAUUCUAACAAAAAGCUGAUUAUGAUACAUUGCCUGCCAUUUGUUCAUGUACUAUAUAGAUAAAAAAAGAUAUGAUAAACCAGCAUCCUACUUAAUUGAUACAUCAAAAGCAUCAAGAAGGAUGCCUACCACGACAAUCUUCAUAAAUUGACAACAUUGAUAAUAACUUCAUUCUCAUUCUCAUUCUCAUGGUUGGCUUUCUACUCUCAUCCACAAGACCAAAAUUGACAAGCUUAGUGCAAAAUAUUGAAAAACAGUUCAACGAGAAAAAAUAUAAAAAUGAACUCCACACAAUUGAUUUUUUAAUUUUGAAUUUUCAUGUUCGGUAUCAACUGUAAUGUAAAUUAACAUGACUAAAUCAAAUGAUAUGCUUUAAAUUCAUUUACAACAAAUAAACAACGGAUAGGAACAUCACAUCCACGGCUAAGACAAAGAGCUACGUGUCAAACAGACAAAGCAAAAUCAGAAGCUCAAACUCACCGAGCCAAAUGUCCGAUCAAUUCCCUACAAUCAAAUUCACCCAGCAAAUGGUAUACCAUCACAGCCUCAAAUACACAUGCACAUACACAGACAGAUAUACUGCUGAAUUUAGGGAAACUUUAAUUUUAUAUUUUUUAGAAAAAUAUUUUCCAAGAAAACAAACAAGGCN